CAAACCCGCAUAUUUUCAUUCGUCGGUCGGUCGGUCGGAUUUUCUUCGCGUGAAUGCUGCCGGACAAUCUGCCAGCCGUGAUCGGCGGUGAGAAGUGUUCCAGCGAGCUGCUGCACCAGGGCAAUUUCUUCCACAGAAUGCAAGUCGCAGUUCAACUAGCAUCAUCAAUCUACCUAGAUCAAAAGUUUAUCAAAACCUUCGCUACAACACCUUGUUAAACAACGCACACACCUGUUCUUUCUAGUCUCCGGAGGUCGACGAUGUCCCUGAUAGGACAAACCGUCAGUAGACGUUGCACCGCAGCACGGCCGAGUUCGUUUGUGGUGCCCCCGUGGAACGCAUUUUCCUCUCAACCGGAUGUACCGUUUGGACACGGGGCUGCGAUCUAAUGUGCUUGUGUCUGCCCGAGUUCAGCUGCGAGCUCUACA